rnacentral:rRNA from 1 species
UACGAAGGACCCGAGCGUUAUCCGGAUUCAUUGGGUUUAAAGGGUGCGUAGGCGGAACGAUAAGUCAGUGGUGAAAGCCUGCAGCUUAACUGCAGAAUUGCCAUUGAUACUGUCGAUCUUGAGUACAUUUGAUGUGGGCGGAAUGUGCCAUGUAGCGGUGAAAUGCUUAGAUAUGGCACAGAACACCGAUCGCGAAGGCAGCUCACAAAACUGUAACUGACGCUGAGGCACGAAAGCGUGGGGAUCAAACAGG